rnacentral:rRNA from 1 species
UGGGGAAUCUUGGACAAUGGGGGAAACCCUGAUCCAGCCAUGCCGCGUGAUCGAUGAAGGCCUUAGGGUUGUAAAGAUCUUUCAGCUGGGAAGAUAAUGACUGUACCAGCAGAAGAAGCCCCGGCUAACUCCGUGCCAGCAGCCGCGGUAAUACGGAGGGGGCUAGCGUUGUUCGGAAUUACUGGGCGUAAAGCGCACGUAGGCGGAUCAGUCAGUCAGGGGUGAAAUCCCGGGGCUCAACCCCGGAACUGCCUUUGAUACUGCUGGUCUUGAGGUCGAGAGAGGUGAGUGGAAUUCCACGUGUAGCAGUGAAAUGCGUAGAGAUGUGGAGGAAUACCGAUGGCGAAGGCAGCCUCCUGGGAUAACACUGACGUUCAUGCUCGAAAGCGUGGGUAGCAAACAGGAUUAGAUACCCUGGUAGUCCACGCCCUAAACGAUGUCAAUUAGCUGUUGGGCAACUUGAUUGCUUAGUAGCGUAGCUAACGCGUGAAAUUGACCGCCUGGGGAGUACGGUCGCAAGAUUA